rnacentral:sRNA from 12 species
ACGGUGGCACGAGUUUUUAUCGUUUCCUCGUCUUGGGUCCGUCCGAAGCCGAACGAUGUCAGGCUGGACCACACCGU